UACAGCCAAACUUUAAAAAAUGGGGGAGAAAAGUUCCCUCCAUUCAUCCCAGUUUUUACCAUUAUUUAAUAGCUUCCAAUACCCAGUUAGAUCUGAAAUGUUUACCCUGUAGAAGAUGGAAUUAUUUCUAUUUGCAUGGAAAACUCAGAAAGCAAAGACAAUGAGCUCAUGAGCAACUUGAGUACAGAUAUCAGCCUUAUU